rnacentral:rRNA from 1 species
CAGUCGAGGGGCAGCGGGGAGGAAGCUUGCUUUCUGCCGCCGGCGACCGGCGCACGGGUGAGUAACACGUAUGCAACCUGGCCGUGACAGAUGGAUAACCGGGAGAAAUCCCGCCUAAUACAACAUAAUGCCGGGAGGGGACAUCCCCUGCCGGCCAAAGGGGGCGACCCCGGUCACGGAUGGGCAUGCGGCGCAUUAGGUAGUUGGUGGGGCAACGGCCCACCAAGCCGACGAUGCGUAGGGGUUCUGAGAGGAAGGUCCCCCACAUUGGAACUGAGACACGGUCCAAACUCCUACGGGAGGCAGCAGUGAGGAAUAUUGGUCAAUGGCCGGAAGGCUGAACCAGCCAAGUCGCGUGAGGGAAUAAGGCCCUACGGGUCGUAAACCUCUUUUGCCAGGGAGCAAUGCCGUCCACGUGUGGACGGAAGGAGAGUACCUGGAGAAAAAGCAUCGGCUAACUCCGUGCCAGCAGCCGCGGUAAUACGGAGGAUGCGAGCGUUAUCCGGAUUUAUUGGGUUUAAAGGGUGCGUAGGCGGCCUGCCAAGUCAGCGGUAAAAUUGCGGGGCUCAACCCCGUACAGCCGUUGAAACUGCCGGGCUCGAGUGGGCGAGAAGUAUGCGGAAUGCGUGGUGUAGCGGUGAAAUGCAUAGAUAUCACGCAGAACCCCGAUUGCGAAGGCAGCAUACCGGCGCCCGACUGACGCUGAGGCACGAAAGUGCGGGGA